GUCCUGAACUCAGGCAAUCCGCCCACCUCGGCCUCCCUAAGUGCUGGGAUUACAGGCGUGAGCCACUGGCCCUUGAGAUUUAUUUAACAGUUACUUAAUGCAGUCUUCCUGUCGCCCGGGCUGAAGUGCAGUGGUGUGACCACGAGCUGGUCCCUUAACAUGAAAAUAGCAUUACAUGCUGCUUUGCAUGUGCAAGGCAGAGUAAAUAGAGUGAUUUUAGGAUUUUUUUUUCCCCAUCUCUUGGCAAGAGCACUUUUUCAUUUCUCUUUCCCUGAGGUCUUUCCUUGGCAUCCGGAUUCCAUUAAUUUGCCAGAUUUAGGGACUCUAAUACAUAACAAACACCUGAGAAUGAAACUGCCACUGCAAAAUUAUAACUGAGACACUGAACAAGAUCUGACCUAACGGACUCCACCUUGCUUCUAACCUCCAAGCUCCACUGAACCAUUUGUGGGUGUAAGCCGAAUUAACUUGGCAGGAACUUAGUUUAUAGUUUAUUUUUUAUGUUUUGGACACAGAGUCUCACUCUGUUACCCAGGCUGGAGUGCAGUGGCACAAUCUCGGCGCACUGCAAUCUCCGCCUCCUGCGUUCAAGCAGUUCUCCUGCCUCAGCCUCCUGAGUAGCUGGGAUUACAGGCGCCUGCCACUACGCCUGGCUAAUUUUUGUAUUUUUAGUAGAGAUGGGGUUUCACCAUGUUGGCGAGGCUGGUCUUGAACUCCUGACUUCAAGUGAUCCACCUGCCUGGGCCUCCCAAAAUCCUAGGAUUACAGGCAUGAGCCACCACGCCUAGCCUCUUAGUUUAUAGUUUAAAACACAAGAACCCUUUCCCAAAACAAACCCCCUUCUUGCCUGGAGACUAGACUGCCUUUGUAGGAAUAACAAAUUAGCCCAAAGGUUUGAAAUUAUGGUUUAGGAGUCCUGUAACUGGAGGCUACAAGAGUCUGACCCUCCCUAAAUUGCUCCUGGGGAUAACAUCACUAUUGUAAAACCUAAGACCAGUACUUGAGAUAUUUUUGCGGACCCUGGCACCAGGUGGAUCAGCUGACACCACCCAGAUCGAGAAACUGGCUCAUCUGAUCUUAUGGCCUCUGUCCAGGAACUGACUCAGGGCAAGAGGACAGCUUCGACUCCCUGUAAUUUCAUCUCUGACCCAACCAAUCAGCACCCCCAACUCACUGGCCUCCCCCUAACCACAUUAUGCUUAAAAACUCUGAUCCACGAAUGCUCAAGGAGAUUGAUUUGAGUAAUAAUAAAACUCUGUUCUCCCAUG